CCGCGUUUGUGUUUUUUCUGAAACUCUUGAUGGACAUACCACAGCCGAACAACUGGAAGAAAAUACACAAGAAAACAUUAGAGGAGAUUGGCAAGAAUCCAAAGGUUCAACUUUUAUGGGUAUUUCCCAUUCCACAUCACACGUUAACGGUAGCAGAGACUUUGUAUGGACAAUUCACAGCUAAGAGCAAAAGAAAAGUGCUGGUUUCUACGACAUUUUUCAAAUGCUAUGGUUAAGGAAAUGAAAAUAAUCAUACAAUGCUGGUCCAGUCGUGAAUGAACCAAAGCAUCUUUUAUUCCAGCCUCAACACCGCAUGGUAUAUUAUAGGGUAUAAGUUAGUAACCAAUAAGAACUUUUAAACGAAAUGCAAGCUAAUGGAAUGAAUUGAAAGCUUAAAAGAGUUAUAAAUCCAAAACUAACUCCUACACUGGAGAGGAACCAGACCCAAGGGCCUUCCAAAGUUUGACCCAGUCCGACAUGGCAUCAGCAGCAGAAGCAAAAACAGGAUCUAAUAUUCCCAACUGUUGCUUCAACGCCGUUGCGAUCUCAACCACACAAUCUUCCGCUGUGGCUGCUGUUCGUGGCAACCUCACUGACUGAAAGAAAGGGACAACUUCCUCCAUUAGCUUCACCCCUUCCCACUCUUUUUUCAAGCUCUCUAUGGCUUUACCUCUCUCUUUUCUCCAUGCAUAAGGCAGCCCACUUUUCACACCAAGUCCAAGGUGAUCACAUACAACCUUAACACACAUUCCACUCCAUAUAUCUUCCAUUGUUUCCCAUCUCAGCUUUCCUUCCCCAGCUAACCUCAAAGCUGGUAACAAAGUAGGGCCCACCAUUUCACGAUCAAAAGCAAUGUUGAUUCCACUGAUAGGCAUCAUGGCCCUUGCUGGAACAGUCAUCACCGCAUCAACAUAUCGAGAAUUCCUCUGUCCUGGCUUCAGGGCUUGUGUAGGCGCAUCGAAGUCAGCUAAAUUAAGCCACAGUCCGCAAGACAAAGCACAUGUAACCCCAUUUCGAAGGCUAAAUGGGUAUCCACGAACAAAAUCUGCUCCCUCACGAUAAGGGUCAUAGAGUGUAUUAAAGAAGAAAGGGGUAGCUGGAGUUGUCAAGUUCAUGAUAUGCUGGUCCACAGCAUCAAUUAAGAAACCUCUUUCAUCCUUGGCUGGAAUGCAGUCAUCAUCAAUUGAAACAAUGUACUUUUUUCGAGAUACGAGAAAGCCAAAAUAUCUGCAUGAAUAUCCAGAGAAGAGAAUAGAAGUGGAAGAACCCACUGCACGAUCCAUAUGAGACUUGGUAUAGACAUCCACAUUAAAUCCUUCUGGUAUCUUGAGUUCCUCAUUGAGGUCAGGGUCUUUGACAAUUAUCAAGUGGAAUCGAGAGAAUAUCGGUCUCCAUUCAUUCAUGAAUGAUGUCAGGUCUGAGUUGAGUGCCCCUAUUACAAUAUCAACAUCACUGUCCUUGAUGUUAACUACAGACAUCUUCCCAAACUAUAAGAAGAAAUAAUUCAAAUCCAAGAAUUUGUUUUGCCUCCGAAAAGGAUGUUUCUGUUUUUAGCCCAAAAUGCAAUUGAAUAGGCUCGCACAAUUAUUUCUUAGAAUUUCUCAGAACACCUGGUAGGAAGGACAAGAGUGAGAACAUGCUGGAUAUUAAGCACCUGGAUAACUGAAAGGAUUUCAUCUUUGCCAGUUGCCAUGGACAGAUUCUGAAUUUCUUGUUCAGCUUUCCAGCUUUAAAAGUUCU
rnacentral:misc_RNA from 1 species